rnacentral:rRNA from 1 species
UACAGAGGUCUCGAGCGUUAGGCGGAAUCACUGGGCUUAAAGCGUGUGUAGGUGGAUCGUUAAGUACCUUGUGAAAUCCCACGGCUUAACCGUGGAACUGCUCGGCAUACUGGCGGUCUUGAGCCAGCUAGGGGCUACCGGAACAAAUGGUGGAGCGGUGAAAUGCGUAGAUAUCAUUUGGAACGCCAAUGGUGAAAACAGGUAGCUGGGGCUGUGCUGACGCUGAGACACGAAAGCGAGGGGAGCGAACGGG